ACAAACUUGGUCAUUUAGAGGAAGUAAAAGUCGUAACAAGGUCUCCGUAGGUGAACCUGCGGAGGGAUCAUUACUGAACGGCCCUCUAGGCCUUCAACCCCUCAAACCUGUGGACCUCAAACGCUGUGCUUCGGCGCUGCCCUGGAGCGGCGCCGCUUUUAUGCAUCGAGUCUUAUGUUGUCUGAUUGCUUUGAGGAUUGAAAACUUUCAACAAAGGAUCUCUUGGCUCUCGCAUCGAUGAAGAACGCAGC
rnacentral:misc_RNA from 1 species